rnacentral:lncRNA from 1 species
UAAAGGAAGAGAUGGAAAUUAGUAGAAAAAAUAUUAAAAACUUAGAGGAUCAGUCUGGGACAUCUGACAUUCAAAUAACAGGGUGUCCAAAACAGAAAAUAGAAAACAAAGAAUAGAAUGUUUUUAACUGCAAGAAAAAUGAACAGAAUUGGAUGACAGAAAACCCCUAGAUGACAAGGACCCACUGGGUGCCCUUUGAAUAAAUGAAUGAAAAAAAACUGCCCAUCCAUGUUCAUCAUUAUGAAAUUUUGAAGCACCUAGGCUAAAAAGACCUUCCUAAAAACUUGUGGAGAGAAAAGUCGGGGUUAAAUAAAAUAAGAAUUGGAAUUUUGGACUUCUCAAUAGCAACAUUGGAUGCUAUAAUAGAAGACAAAGUCUUCGAAAUUGUACAGGCAAAGUAUUUUCAAUUUAGAAUUUACACCAGCCAAAUAAUCAAGUGGGAGGGAGAAUAAAGACAUUUUCAGCAUGGAAGGACACAAAGCACUCCCUCUCAGAAACCUUUUCUUUCUGAAAUGAAUAUGUGGUCCAACAAACCACAAUCAAGAAAAACGUGGCAGAAAAUAGGGAUUUUAACACAGGAGAUGGGUGAAGGGAGUUCUAGGAUGGUAGGUGGGCAUUUGAAUUCAAGAACUAGCAGUUGAGGUGUAAGCAGGGAAAGUAAUGGAAGAAACAUCCCAAGCGUACAAAAGGAAAUGAUAAUCAUCUUAUUAUCAUGCCAGAGCUUUUAGAGAAAAAAAGUCUCAGCGUUCCGAACAGCUGAUGGUACACUUAGAAAUUUUUUACGGUUCAACAUAUAAAAAGCUAUGCAACAGAUAAAAAUAAGGCAAUUAUUAAUUUUUAAAAGUAUGUUUAAAAACAUAGUAUACUAGUUAGCCCUAGAAACUAUACUAAACUAUAUUUAUGUAGCCAUAAAAAUGUAAAUACUAUGAUUAUGAUUGCUAAAACAUCAGUGGGGGGGAGAGGAUAGUAGAGGGAGAGUUAAAUCCUCAUCUACCAUAAUUAGAAGUUAUUAAUGUCUAAAAUGAAAAAAUAAGGUGCACAUAUUAUAUAAAGAUGGGACAUAUAUAUAUGUAUAUAUCAGAAGAGUUAGCUAAAAGUUAAAAAUAUUUGCCUCUAUGGUUGGGGGGAAAGUGGAGGGUUAUAGCAUUUUUAUAUACUUUGAGUAUUUGCAUUACUUUGCUAGAAAUAUAUUUUUUAAAGCAAGUUCCCCCAACACCCUCUGCAAAAAAAAGUCAGUAUGGCAGAUUUCAGAAAUAGUGACCUUUCUUUACCCAUGCCAGUAGAAUCCAUCAACAAGAAUGAUCUAUCUAGUCAGUCUCAUGUCACAAAGAGGGCCUUAGGGGUGCUCUUCCUGGAGGAGUUGUAUAGCUAGAUAGAGGCUAGGAUGGAAUCCAUGUGUGGGCAAAUUACCUCAGUUCUCUGGUCUCUUGUUUCAUCUGUAAAACAGGCACAAUAAUAGUCCUAACCUCAUCAGGCUGCUGAAGACUGAACAGAUGAUGUAGGUAAUGUGCUUAGCAUAGUCUCUGGCUCAUGAGUUCUUAAUAAAAAGUACUUGAUAAUAUCACUGUUAGCAGCAUUCAUCAGUCUCAAGGUGGAAACCAUCAUAUAUUAAGAUCUGGAACUAGCAGAAUCCAGAGCUUUUGACUUCAGGUUCUGAUUUGAGCAUGUGCAGAUGGAUAAACUGAGCUGUAACCCCAUGCAUCUUAUAUCAAGAGGACCAGCCACUUGGGGAUCCUCAAGGAUAUAAGUGCCCUCUCCCCUCUCCAACCUGUUUUCCCAUCACCUCCUCCUAACUUUCAUUGGGGUUUAUUUCCAGAUUCUCCCACCAGGUAUCUUAAGUGUUUUCUCCACAUGGAAAUGCUUUUCAGUAAAAUGAAAAUGACUGAACUUUUUAUAAAGUGAAGUUCAGAGUAUCCCUUCUGGGACUCUAUUUUUUCCCUUGAAAUUCUAGAUCAAAAUUUCAAAAAGGCCAGAGUGGGGUCCAUAGAAGAGCAGAAGCAAUGAGUUGGAAGGACUUCUGUGCACCUCUAUUAGUCCCACUGCAUGGAAUCCUUAGGGUUUUUUUCUCAUCCAAGAAUCUAAGAAGAGUCCAUAAAGAAGGCUGACAACAAAUGAAUGGAGAAAACACAAGCCCCAAAGCCUGCAGCACAGCCAGGGACCCUCUGUGAGCUGAGUCUGUGAGUUAGGGACCAGCUCUCUUCUCCAUGAAGCCUGCCCUGAUUCUCCCCAGAGGGAAGGCUGGCCCCCUUUUCCAAACUCCCACUACAUUUUGUCCAAACGAUGUUGGAAGCCACUGGGACUCCCCAAGAACAAUAUCCAAGUUGAAGACACCUUUUGCCACCCCCGCCAGUGGACAUGGAAGGAGUGCCGCACACACCCGCCCUGAAUGCAGAAGCAGCAGAGUUCACCCCAAGGAUUUCACCAAGCACUAGUGUUCCUUGUUUUGCUUGUUUUUGAUGCCUAAAGAGCCAACAAGUGACUAACAGACUGUUGUUCAUGGAUUGUCUAAAGUCAGCCUUCUAAUAGCACCCGAAGGGCUCCUCAUGCUGGUGCAACCCCGCUGCCACUGCUCCUGAGCCUAUGUUCCCUUCUCUCCACCAUGCACCUUCUGACAUCAUGACUCACUGGAGAACCAGGCCAGGAUCCCAACCACCCCGUGUCUCAGUGGGCCUGGGCGGGAGCCCUGUGCUGCCAGGAGGAGCAGAGAUAACAUUGAUUGUCCAGAAGCUCUACGAUGGAGACAGGUUGUCAUUGGAAGUCCAACAAGAGACAGAGGCAAGUGAGCUUUAUGGAGCACCUACUGUGUGCCAGGCCCCAUGCAACGGGCUUCUGUGGAGGCCUGCCCCUGCCAUCUUCACAACCCUCAGGUGAGCCAGCUUUAGCUUUACAUUUUAUAGAUGAAAAAAGCUGAGAGUUGAUGAGACUAAGAUACUAUUUGUGAGACCAAAAGAAAGAGGAAAAUCUCAUUUAAUCUCCAGGAUUUGUUAAAUUAGGCAAAGACAAGAAGGAACUUUUAUGUGAGGACAGACUGAAGUCCUGGCAUUUUCCAGCUCAGAAAGUCUGAGAAAGGAUAUGCUCAAGAACUAUCACAUGAAGGAAGAGCUCCUGCUUGACCGUGAGCUGGGCCGUCAAAUCCCACAUCCUCAUGGGGACUCGAUGCAGCCUGGAUAGCAGGGUGGUAAGACUCUCUGCUUCCUGAGCACAGGGUCUACCCUCCUCUUGUGAACUCUGUGUCCUUCACCAAGUCAUUGAACCUCCAUCUGCUUCCUCACCUGUUUAAGAAAGGAUGAUCGUAAUAGGACCCACAUCAUAGGGUUUUGUUAAGGGCUAAAAGAAAAAUAUGUAAAGCGCCUUGCCGAGUGCCUGGUACUACAGUAAGGAUUUGAUAAAUAUUAGCUGUUACAGUAAUUAGGAGUCAUAUUUUAUACCCUACAAGAGGCAUUUGUAGAUCAAAAGAAAUCUCACAUUACAGGGUGGGAAGUAAACUCACUAAACAUAGCCCCAAGGGUGGCACAAACGGAAAAUAUAAAUAGAAUAAAAAAGGGUUAGAUCACGAAUGGGUAACCUUUUCUCUACCAUAAGCCAGUGACACACAGGGGCAAAAAGAAAAUCCAUUUCUGGCCCCAUGUAAGUCAAAGAAGCCAUUAUAGGCUGUGAAGGGAAUUCAAUUAGUCACUGGUUGCCAUGCCAAUGCAAACAUCACCCUUCCACCUACUCUACCAUCAACACAUUUGAAUAAGUAACAAUGAUAAUAGCAUGCACUAAAAAUGCUAUUUUUAAAAAAGUUACAUGUGCUUCUUUCAAAAGUCUGGUUUUCAGAAAUAAUUGCUAUAGUCCAGAUGAGAAUUCACAUGGAAUCCCUAAAAUGGGUUGAGUAUCAUCAGAGAAGAGACAUCUGUAGAUUAUUAAGGGACUCUUAGGGUUUGGAGUUGAUUUUCUUGUGGGGGAGGGGAAAUUUUUUCAACAUUCCAAGCUUGAUCAAGCAACCCUUCAUGGUGUCAGAAAUUGAGCUCAGACAGUCCCUUGCUCAGCACUGCUCUCCUCACACCCUGAAGCCUGACCUGGAUCCCUGGUUUCAUUAUGCCUUCUUCAAGCUUUGCUUGAGUAUCUACAAUUUGGCAAUGUGUACCUAAAACUUAAAAAAAUACUUUGAUCUAAGAAUUUACUUAAAAAAAUACUUUGACCUCAGAAUCAAUCCUAAGAAAACCAAUACUGAUAUACAGAAUUUAUAGGAGCAAAAAUAAAAGUAAAGAACAGAAAUAACCAAAAUGUCCAAAUUAAAUUGUUAUACAUCCAUAUGCUAGAAUAUGAUGAGCUAUUAAAAAUGAGGCUGUCAUAAAAAUGAAUGAGAUCAUGUCCUUUGCAGGCACAUGGAUGGACCUGGAAGCCAUUAUCUUCAG